GGCAAGCUCGGCCAGGGUCGCGAGUUCGGGCGUGGGAGCGCUGCCGAUUGAAUUGAGCGAACGAACUGCGAGCAACCUUUGACGUUCGUUCGUGGGGAUUCGUAC
rnacentral:sRNA from 1 species